GAUGAACGCUGGCGGCGUGCCUAAUACAUGCAAGUCGAGCGAACAGACGAGGAGCUUGCUCCUCUGAUGUUAGCGGCGGACGGGUGAGUAACACGUGGAUAACCUACCUAUAAGACUGGGAUAACUUCGGGAAACCGGAGCUAAUACCGGAUAACAUGUUGAACCGCAUGGUUCAACAGUGAAAGACGGUCUUGCUGUCACUUAUAGAUGGAUCCGCUCCGCAUUAGCUAGUUGGUAAGGUAACGGCUUACCAAGGCAACGAUGCGUAGCCGACCUGAGAGGGUGAUAGGCCACACUGGAACUGAGACACGGUCCAGACUCCUACGGGAGGCAGCAGUAGGGAAUCUUCCGCAAUGGGCGAAAGCCUGACGGAGCAACGCCGCGUGAGUGAAGAAGGUCUUCGGAUCGUAAAACUCUGUUAUUAGGGAAGAACAAAUGUGUAAGUAACUAUGCACGUCUUGACGGUACCUAAUCAGAAAGCCACGGCUAACUACGUG
rnacentral:rRNA from 1 species